ACUCAAAGUCUUAUUUAGACUCCAAGUCCACAUUGUUCGAGUGAGCGGACUCCCUGUUCUUGCUGGUCACAUUGCUGGUCUGGAAGCAGGGGAGUCUUGAGUUCUUUGUCUCUGUACAAGUAUAGUCCACGUGUGUGUAAUGUGAGGGCUUCUAGCAAAUGUCUUGGCAGCUUGUGUAAUCGUGUUGUAUUGGGGAAAAAAUACAUAUUUCUCUAUCUAAUACUAAUAAGAGAUAUACACCUCCUGCAUAUA